UUGGAAUAUUCCUCGCGCGCGCGCGAAUAUUUUGCCCGGACGAGCGAAUCUACCGUCGCUGCAGCACCUGCACGGCUGCACCCGCCUUGUUUGGACCGCACGCGCGGCCACCCUUCUCCUCCUCUCCUCUCUUCUUCACCUACCUAUUCUCUCUCGCUCGGCGCGCGUAGAAGAGAAGAGGCACUUCUUCCUCCUCGCCGGCUUCCCCUCGCGUGUCGCAAGUGCUUUACCCUACACCGUGGCCCGUGGAUCGUCGCCGGACGCCAGGCAUCGGCAAGCGGCAGCGCAGCCGUCCACCCUGAGUCCCUGAUUUUGCCAAGAAAACAGACAGCGGAGCAAGCCACACGGAAAUGAGCAACAAAGAAUGGUUUUGAAAUUUCAGUAUGGUACAGAAGCAUGGUGGACAGCACCAGCACAGCAUGUGGCCGUGAAAUAGAAGCAGCAAGUUACAGAUACUCUUUAUACAGGUACAUGUGCAUACACCAACCGUGGCCCAGACACUUCUGUCCAGGCGGGCACUGUUUGUUCAGUGUUAUCCGUGUCGGAUUAUUCUGCCACUAUGAGCAGGCCUUUCCUCCGAAGAGUUUCACAUGUGUUGGAGAUGCUACUCUAAAAUCAUCAUCUCCAGAAUCAGAGGAAGUUCAGUAGGUGCGAAGCCACAAGGCAAAUAAUAAUUUGUUUGGUAUUGCAAUCGAGGGAGCAGGAUGCGUAUCCUUUUAUUUACCUCACGAGUCAAUUGGUGCAACCCUUGCUGGCUUCAUUAUCCUUACAAUGUUCCUGAUGUGCUCAAACCCCAUGACUAUCACCCCUAUGAGAUAAAGAAAGCUUAGUUGCAGCUUGCCAAGCAAGUUAUAGACUGCUACGGCAGCAUUUGCACCUUCAUCUGUUCGCAUCGUGACGGUAAUGGGCCUCGCGGAAAUGAGUGCCCCGGUCUCUGAUGAGGACGCAGCGUAAGAGAUUUGAUCCAGAACAGUUAGCCUUGAAGAGAAAUCGGAGAUCCGGUGGCCUUUAUCAGAUCCAUAAGUGCAUUGUUCACCUGCAAUUCGUAGAAGGUUACAUGAGUUCCUACUGAACUUUUCAUGAUAGACUGUGACCAAGCGAGAGAAGCAAACACCAGAAAGUAUUGUGCUGAGUGCGUGCUAAGCCACAUGCCUAGAUACUUGAGGCAACUUGAUCCCAAAUACGACUUUUAGUAACCUAUUGUGUCGUAUAAUUCCGUUAUUCUCUGCUAGACCUAGUAAUGGGGAACAACUAUCUCCAAGAGUAACAUUUGGUUAGGUGACCAAUGAUGCUUUCAGAUAACUGCAACGUCUGAUGUCAUCUAAGUUCGCUCAGUAUAUAUGACAAAAGUGCAGCAGAUUUUUCUCACUCAAUUCUUCUUCCUAGUUUGGUA
rnacentral:misc_RNA from 1 species